GAUGAACGCUAGCGGCAGGCCUAAUACAUGCAAGUCGAACGGGCGGUAGCAAUACCGCUAGUGGCGCACGGGUGCGUAACGCGUAACCAACCUGCCCUUGACUGGGGGAUAGCCCGCCGAAAGGCGGAUUAAUACCGCAUAACCUCACAGUGUGGCAUCACACAAUGAGUAAAGAUUUAUUGGUCAAGGAUGGGGUUGCGUAGCAUUAGCUAGUUGGCGGGGUAAUGGCCCACCAAGGCGACGAUGCUUAGGGGACCUGAGAGGGUGAUCCCCCACACUGGCACUGAGAUACGGGCCAGACUCCUACGGGAGGCAGCAGUAGGGAAUAUUGGGCAAUGGGCGAGAGCCUGACCCAGCCAUGCCGCGUGCCGGAUGAAGGCCUUCUGGGUUGUAAACGGCUUUUCUCAGGGAAGAAAAAGAGGAUGCGUCCUACACUGA
rnacentral:rRNA from 1 species